GGAAAUACAAAAAUAGCCCCUCCUGAAGAUAAAAUCGUUCGGGAACAGCAAUAAUUAUGACUCAUUAACUUCUACCUACUCAAAAAAGUCUGCCUUGAUGGUAGACUGAAAUGAGGCUUUUUAACCCACAAGCAACCUUUUUAUUUUUUUGAGACUGUCUUGCUCUGUCUGUCACCCAGGCUGGAGUACAGUGGCAUGAUCUUGACUCACUGCAGCCUCGACUUCCUGGGCUCAAGUGAUCUCCCAUCUCAGCCUCCUGUGUCGCUCUAACCACAGGCACGUGCCACCAUGCCUGGGUAUUUUUUUGUUGAGCUGGGCUCUCACUUUGUUGCCCAGGCUGGUCUUGAACUCCUCAGCUCAAGCAGUCCUUCCCACUCAGCCUCCCGUAGUGUUGGGAGUACAGGCGUGCACUGCACCUGCUCCAGCCACCUGUAUAAAACCACUGACCUGUGUGUAGAGGACACGCCAGGUGUGUGCUCACUGCACUUCGAGGAUGGGUCAUCACGUGACUUUCCCCAGUUUUCCAUUUCUCUUUUUCUGCUUUUCUCAAAAACCAAUAUAAGACUGGGUGCGGUGGCUCACACCUGUAAUCCCAGCACUUUGGGACACUGCAGCUGGCGGAUCACAAGGUCAGGAGUUUGAGACCAGCCUGGCCAACAUGAUGAAACCUCGUCUCCACUAAAAAUACAAAAGUUAGCUGGGUGUGAUGGUGGGUGCCUGUAAUCCCAGCUACUCAGGAGGCUGAGGCAGGAGAAUUGUUUGAACCCUGGAGGUGGAGGUUGUGGUGAGCCGAGAUCGUGCCAUUGCACUCCAGCCUGGGCAACGGCAAGACUCUGUCUCAAAAACACUUAGAAAAUGCUCUGGAGGUGGCAGAGGGUUGUAGAUAUGUGAGGCCAACCCCCAGGGUGGCCUUGUCCGCCUCCCCAUUGAGAAUGGCUGCCAGGCUUCCCACUAGCCUCUGAAGAUGAUGGUCUGGUGUAAGGAGAGGUGCAGGUGCCUGGUUCUGAGCACCCUGGAAUUUCUGGCCGCACAUCCUCUGGUGCCCUCCCUUCCACCCUGACAAGGAGCUUCCAGCCUGUUUUGAUUUUCUGUUUGUGGACCAGAAACACGUUUUUCCAAAUGAUGAGCAAAUAGGGUGAUUUCCUUUGUAAUGCUGCUCUGGGGCCUCUUCCUCAUCCUGGCAGAAGCAGCCUGGAUACCAUGCGGCAGCCGACACUGUGCCCUUGCUCAGGCGUGCUGUCCCCUCCCUCUCCCUCAGUCUCCUCUCCAUGCCCAAGUCGGUUUCCAGCCGCUGGUCUUCACGGCAUUCCCAGUACAGCCAGGCACCAAGAGGCAAUACCCAAGGCCUGGCUUGGCCACGUUAACGAUUGUACAGACAUAUAUUUUUAAAUAACUUUUAUGUAAUACUUUUCUAGCAUAGUAAGUUCUUGUUAACUGUCACAGAUGUCCUUCUAGAAACACCAGGUGUUACGUCCACUGAGUGUGUCCGUGGUCGUGGUCUGUGCCUUUGUAAACAGAACACUUGAACCACCUCCCGAAUUGGGUCAUCUGCUUCUUGAAAUUGACACUUAAGAGAUGUGCAUCUCUCUAACUUUCAAGGAAACUGCCCCACUAAAUGGCAUGAAAAGGUUUAAAUAAAAUCCGACAGUCCCAAUUCCCUCUAUAACAGUGUUAAAAUAACCUGUCUACCUGGAAAGAUGAAAACACUCUUGCACAACCCAAAAUGCGUCUUUAAUUUGUGAAAAAUUAACAUGGUGAGUCAAACAGUCAUUUUAAAGAGCUGAGCAAAGAAUAUCAUCAGCCAAAUACAGCUCUGCUUUGCAGGGCGCCUUUAAACUCCUUGCCACAAAACCAGUGAGCUCUGCUUGCUGCUGCCACGCUCCUGGAUGAUCACUUAGAUGGGUCAGUGGGAAUAACAGGCAAACAAGACAGUUCUUUACAUCUGUCCAAAUGAUGUCCUUUCUCAGGCCUGGAAGUAUUUCAUUGCUGGAAGAAGGAAACAAGAAUGUCAUUGCAGAUAGAAACAGACUUCUCUCGUUUGCCCUUGACCAACAUGGUACUGAGGGGUUUAUUGUUUCCCAACGCACAUGCGUGCCCUACUGGGGGCCUUACUUUGUAGAACGAGAGCGUCUGAGCUCCCCUAAUGAUUCUGACUAGUUCUCUCCUGGCUGAGGAUACAGGAGUGGGACAUCCACCCUCAGAUCCCUCAGAGCACAGAAACCUUCAGCUUGGCUGUCUCAAGUAUUUCUUCCAGUUUCCCUGUGGGCCUCUGAUGUUUGAGUUUGAUGGCUGCUAGAUCCUUAACGAAAACUCAGUUGGAAACUUCCAACUCGCAGUCCUAGUUUGUUGUUUUCCAUUUCAUUUCACUUACAGCUGAAAGUGGCAUUCAGCUGACUUGCUCGUUUAAACUGUUCACAGAGUCCGAACUGCCAACGUGGCGUCGGAGGCUCCAUCUUUUAAGAGGGCCACAGACUUUCCCACAUGGGAAAACUUGAAAAUUACAUCAACAAUCAACGUCAGAGCCAAAUUAUAUUUGCUUUAUACCAAACUAUGGAGAACUAAAAGUACAUUGUACAAAAUGUUUCUAGUGUUUUGUAUGUGACCUAUUUCAAUAUUUAUAUUACCAGAUCAGUGCUUUCCAGCAAACGAUUCUGUUAAAUAAUGUAGCCAGUCGCUGUUAAUUCUGCAGCAGUGAUAAGCUGAUACUGUGCAACUAAUCCUGUGGACGCCGUCUGCUUAUUUUUGUCUAAACUAAGUUAAUCAUGGUAGCAGCUAUGAUUCUUGCUCAGCAAAGUAAAAUAAAUGUUAAAUAUGGA